AUUGAACGCUGGCGGCAGGCCUUACACAUGCAAGUCGGACGAGCGGCGGACGGGUGAGUAAUGUAUGGGGAUGUGCCUAGUGGUGGGGGAUAACUACUGGAAACAUUGGCUAAUACCGCAUACCAUCAGAUCGACCCAUAUUUGAUUAGCUUGUAGGUGGGGUAAAGGCUAACCUAGGCGACGAUCCAUAGCGGGUCUGAGAGGAUGAUCAGCCACACUGGGACUGAGACACGGCCCAGACUCCUACGGGAGGCAGCAGUGGGGAAUAUUGCACAAUGGGCGCAAGCCUGAUGCAGCCAUGCCGCGUGUAUGAAGAAGGCCUUCGGGUUGUAAAGGACUUUCAGUCGGGAGGCGUUACCGAAAGAAUAAGCACCGGCUAACUCCGUGCCAGCCGCCGCGGUAAUAC
rnacentral:rRNA from 1 species